rnacentral:pre_miRNA from 1 species
CAUGCACCGGUGGGGUCCCUCGGCCUGGCCUGUGCCCUCUCGCAUUCUGGGACCCCUCAGAGGAUGUCAGAGAACCGGUUUUGGCCUGAUCCCCACAGGCCAGGCCAAGGGACCCCACCGGUGCACG